GACCCGUCUUGAAACACGGACCAAGGAGUCUAACAUCUAUGCGAGUGUUCGGGUGUCAAACCCCUACGCGUAAUGAAAGUGAACGGAGGUGAGAACCGCAAGGUGCAUCAUCGACCGAUCCUGAUGUCUUCGGAUGGAUUUGAGUAUGAGCAUAGCUGUUGGGACCCGAAAGAUGGUGAACUAUGCCUGAAUAGGGUGAAGCCAGAGGAAACUCUGGUGGAGGCUCGCAGCGGUUCUGACGUGCAAAUCGAUCGUCAAAUUUGGGUAUAGGGGCGAAAGACUAAUCGAACCAUCUAGUAGCUGGUACCUGCCG
rnacentral:rRNA from 1 species